GCCGGGCAUGGUGGGUCAUGCCUGUAAUCCCAGCACUUUGGGAGGCGGAGGCAGGUGGAUCACCUGAGGUCAGGAGUUCAAGACCAGCCUGGCCAACAUGGUGAAACCCUGUCUCUA
ensembl:misc_RNA Metazoa_SRP Metazoan signal recognition particle RNA